CUCCAGCGAGAGUUUAACGCUCCGGACAUUUCCGUCACCAGUUUUUGUGACCCCAGAGAGAGCCACAGCUGCCCCCACCUCCCCAGGAGACCCUCCAAGACCAGCAGGUAGGUCCCUCCCAGGCUCCUGCGGAGUCACUGCCUGGGUCCUGGUGCAGGAGACCUUGUGUGUGCCCUCCAAGGGUGUGUGCGCCCUCCAGUCCUGUGGAGCUCCUGCGAUCAAGCCCCGCUGGCCUUCAGAGUCAAAUGCUCUGGGGGCUCCUUCUCCGGAUGCCAGACCCCCAGGCUGGGGAGCCUGGGGGAGCUUAGAACUCUCACUCCUGUGGGAGAAUUUCUGCUAUAUAAUUAUUCUCCAGUUUGUGGGUCACCCACCUGGCAGGUAUGGGACUUGAUUAUAUGGUGAGUGCCCCCUCCUACUGAAACCAUACAACUCACGUGGGAUUUGAACCCAGCCAAAACCCAGAUUGGGACUUGAACCCACAGGCUGGGACUCAAACCACUGUCUUUUAAUUGACACACACCUGGUCUCAGGACUUAAUGAAGCUCAGGUUCUUUAUGUCUCAGCACAGAAGGAAUUCAGCGAGAGGCAAAGUGAUAGGUGAGAAGUGGAUUUAUUUAUAGAGAUACACAUUCCAUAGACAGAAUGCGGUCUGUCUCAAAAGGCGAGAGCAGCCCCAGAGCAUGGGGUCCUCUUGGAAAGUGAGAGCAGCCGGCCCUGAGAGAAACACACCCUGCAGACAGAGUGUGGACCAUCUCAUAAGGCGAGAGGCCCAGAAAUACAAUGCGGUUUGUUUUUUACGGGCUGGGUAGUUUCAUAGGCUAAUGACUGGGAGGAGUAUUCCAACUGGGAAGGGGUGGGGAUUUCCAGGAAUUGGACCACCACCCACAUUUUGGCCUUUGAUGGUCAGCCUCAGAAUUGUCCUGGCACCUGUGGGGCUGUCAUUAACUAAUGUAUUACAAUGAGCAUAUAAUGAGGCUCAAGGUCUACUGGAGGUCGAAUCUUCUGCCAACUUGGGCCUGAUUGGUUCUAACCAGUUUAUAGUCAUAACCACAAUGGCUACGUCAUUCAUAAAGGGUUGUGCCAUCUCAUCUCGUUGUGGUUUCUUCUUUGUCUUUGGAUGUACAAUAUCUUUUUUCGUAGGUUCCAGCCUUUUUGAUCGAUGGUUGUUCAGCAGUUAGUUGUGAUUUUGGUGUGAUCAUGAGAGGAGCUCAGGUCCUUCUACUCUGCCAUCUUGUCUCCUGUUCUCCUAAACAGGUUUUAGAAGAAGCUUUAAAACUCCAGAAUGGACGAGAUAGCGUGUAGAACCCAACUGCAGGAGGCAUGUGGAUGUCUGGCUCUUGACGGAAGAGGAGGAAUCACUGGGCACAGGACAGACAGGCGAAUACUUAUUGAAAUGGCUUUACAGAGAAACUUCUGCCCAAGGAAGAGGAGCGGGACGGAGCUGCAGGGACCUAAGGAACGAGGCGCGGAUGGGUGCCCGCCAGUGAGGUGACCCGGGAGAGCCUGUCCGCAUCUGUAAAUCACAGUAACGAGCCACCACUGGAGCUGGUGGACCUUUGGGCUGUUUCCACCUUUCAGCUUUUGUUAACAGUGCUGCUGUGAACGUGGGCAUCAGGUUUUUAUUUGAACACUGCUUUCCAUCCUUUGGAGUGUGUUAUUGUUUUUAUUACCCAGACACCACUUGAAAAUAAUAGAAACCUGAAGGACUUCCCGCCACCAGCACACCGCCAUCGAACCAGGGGAAACGACAGCAGUUUGAAACCCAGUGCGGGCCGGGCUGCGGAGAAACCCAUGUUUGUCUGUCCUGUGGGCCUGGCCAGCUGGGCCAGCUUUUCUGGGAGCAGUUCGGCAGGUGAUGUCGAGAGCCAUUCCUGCACCCGACAUGGCAAUUCCAGCCCUUGAAAUCCAGUCCUAGGAAAGAAUUGCAAAUAAGGGGGAAUCUUUAAAAAAAGGAAAAAAGUCACUUGUACCAAGCUGCACAGCACUGAAAUUUAUAAUCAGAACAAAGUGGAAAGAAGGAGUGUAUCCAACAAUUGGGCCGGUGGAGCCACAAGGAAGAUUCAGUUCCAAGGACACGAGUGUCUGGGAUCUGGACACAGAUGAGCAAUGCCUGAGAUGUGUUCAUGAAACAGAGGGCCCUGAGACGUGGGGUGACUUAAUCAUAGCAUGGUGCUACAAGGUUAUGCUUCCCACAGAGCGUGAACUCCCCAUCCGUGGAGGAGUUCAAGCAGCCAUGUGUCAGGUUGCGAGGGAGAAGCCUGGAACCGGAAUGGGUAGGCUGUCCGUGAGGCCUGGGAGAGUUCACACCGCCCACUGCAAGGAUGCCAGCACACAGCAGGCAAGGGAGUGGGACCUGGAGUCAGCCCACAGGAGCUGGACAGAGGCCAGGCAGCUGGGAAAAGCCCUGGCCGUCCCGAGGAGGAGGCGGCACAAAGGGAGGACUUGCCCUGGUCUCCAUGGGCUCCCACGAGAGAUGAGUUCCUGGGGUCCUCCAUCCACUGUCUAGUGGGCCUGGACUCCACCCACCCCACAGAAUGACAGAGGGAUCGGGGACAGCUGGGGGACGCCAAGCAGCUCACAGAGUCACCAUCCCCACCAGGUGUCUCCUUCCAACGCCCCCGACAUGCAACACUCAGGCAGCUUGCACCCUGUCCUGUGCACAUGUGCCUUGCCCCUGGGGAGAAGGGGACCAGCCUCGGAUGCAGCACCUCGCUCCGUUGAGGGAGGCCUUCGGGCAGACACUGCAGGAAGGACCUGCGCCGGGCCCACCGGUUCCGUGUCUCUCCUGGGGGCUCUGGAUUGCCGGUGUCCCCAGUCCUUGGGCUCUGUCCACUCCACCUUGUCCUCUGCAGGAGUGUGUGGCCCACCGAGACCCGGGACUCCCACCCUCGGGCUCUGAGGAACGUCCCUCGAGCAUGCCAGCUGGUGGAAUUUUGGGGGAGCCAUGGGGUCCAGAGCCGCACACCCCACUCUCACUUAUGCCAGCCUGUUCCUGCUGAUCCCCACUCCUGUGGCCUCCGGUGGCCCCGCCCCAGCAUCUGCUGGACAGUCACCCUGAGUGCCGCUGGGUCCCGUUUACAGAUGAGGAGACCAAGGCCCAGAGAGGAGCAGUCGCUCUGGCAAGGCCGCACAGCUGGCAUCCAUCUGGACUGGACGACUCUAGAACCUUCUCCCAGGGCAGCUGCUGGGGCAUCUCUGGACAGCCGGCCCCUGCCCUUCUUUUAAUUCCUCAGCCUUCUGGGAAUGGGGGUCUGCAGCUGCUCAGGAGCAGAGGGUCCAGGGACAGCCCCUGGGCAGCAGACUUGCCGCUGUCCAGGCUCGGCUGCCAUGGGUCACUUCCCUUCCAUCUCCAGAGGCAAUGUUAGGAGAAAGGUCACGGCAGGAAUUUCAAGGAAGAUUUUAAAUCAUGUCUCUUUCCAGAAAGGUUUCCUCCUGGGGCCGCCAGGCUUCUCGCACUCUCUGACUUCAGGGGCCAAAGGCUGUGUUCCACCCCAGAUGUCUGUUCCUCCAGGGCAUGCCCCCCCUGGCACUGCUUCUCAGUGGGGGAACCUGCAGGCUCUGAGGUUAGGGGUGGGCCCAGUGCACCCACCUGGACAGCAGGGAUUUUCUUCUCCUGGCUGGAGCCAGACCCCGAGUGCCCGGCAUCCUCUGUUCAGCAACAGCCUGUGGCCCCACAUCUGUGCACAGGGGGCCCCCAGCAGCCCCCUGAAGCUAGGUGAAGCCCUGGGCCCCACUCUGGUCAAUGACAGGGGAGCAGAAGUGACCCGAGUCACUCACGGGCAGAGCAUUAAAGAGCUGGCGCCGCUUCUCCACCUGCCCUGCCCCUGCUAGGUGGCUGGUGGUGUGUCCCUGAGUGAGGAUGGCAUGGGGCAGGCCCUGGAUGGCCCACCAGGGACCUGAAAUACCUUUGCUGUGGGAAGCCACCAAGAUGACCAGACCUCUGUCACUACUGCAAAACCUGGCCCAGCCAGGACCUGGGUCAUCCCAGGCUUCAGCACACCCACCCUCCCCACAUCCACACCCAUCCUGGAAUGCUCUCCAACACCCUUCCUUCUAAUUCACCCCUCCCCCAGGAAGUCUGCCCUGAUUGCCUCCUGCGGUCUCAGAACUGGCUCGGGCCUCCUCCUUCCUCUGCCUUCAGUAGUCCAGAGACAGGGACACAUCCCAGCAUUCACAAACCUUUGUUGGAGUAAAAGGAACUCAGACCCAGCUAAGGAAAUGCAAGAAACCAGCUAGAGGUGUAUGCAAGGGAAAGGUAAGAGGCAAAGGGAGGACAAGGGGGCCACGUGGGCAGCUCACAACACAGAGCACACUCUUGGGUUCGAGCCAUCACCUGCCCGCUUGCUGAACACCACUCCCAUUAAAAAGACGAAUCCAAUAAUAAUGAGCAAACCAGACAAGA